rnacentral:rRNA from 1 species
UUCCGGUUGAUCCUGCCGGACCCGACUGCUAUUUGGGUGAGGAUAAGCCAUGCGAGUUGAAUGGGAUACCUAAAGUUCCCAUGGCAAACUGCUCAGUAACACAUGAUCAACUUAACCUAUAGAGAAAAAUAACCUCGGGAAACUGAGGAUAAUGUUUCAUAGCUGAAUUGGCUUGGAAAAGUUUUUCGGCGAAAGGGGUAAAAAAAAUGGUUUUUAUCUGCUAUAGGAUAGGAUCGUGUUCGAUUAUGGUUGUUGGUGAGGUAAUGGCUCACCAAGCCGAUAAUCGAUAGGGGCCGUGAGAGCGGGAGCCCCGAGAUGGGUACUGAGACAACGACCCAGGCCUUACGAGGCGCAGCAGGCGCGAAACCUCCGCAAUACACGAAAGUGUGACGGGGUUACCCAAAGUGUUCAAUAGAACUGUGGUAGGUGAGUAAUGUUCCCUACUAGAAAGGAGAGGGCAAGGCUGGUGCCAGCCGCCGCGGUAAAACCAGCUCUUCAAGUGGUCGGGAUAAUUAUUGGGCUUAAAGUGUCCGUAGCCGGUUUAGUAAGUUCCUGGUAAAAUCGGGUAGCUUAACUAUCUAUAUGCUAGGAAUACUACUAUACUAGAGGGCGGGAGAGGUCUGAGGUACUACAGGGGUAGGGGUGAAAUCUUAUAAUCCUUGUUGGACCACCAGUGGCGAAGGCGUCAGACUGGAACGCGCCUGACGGUGAGGGACGAAAGCCAGGGGAGCGAACCGGAUUAGAUACCCGGGUAGUCCUGGCCGUAAACGAUGCAUACUAUGUGAUGGCACGGCCAUGAGCCGUGUCAGUGCCGUAGGGAAACCGUUAAGUGUGCCGCCUGGGAAGUACGGUCGCAAGGCUAAAACUUAAAGGAAUUGGCGGGGGAGCACCACAAGGGGUGAAGCCUGCGGUUCAAUUGGAUUCAACGCCGGA